GGCCGACAAAAUCCUAUCUCUACCUGCUCGUUGUGUCGGCCGGAAUAUGCAGUGUCUUUCUGCAUAUACUAACAGAGAAGG
rfam:Anopheles christyi strain ACHKN1017 cont1.16786, whole genome shotgun sequence.